rnacentral:rRNA from 1 species
CUACGGGGUGCUGCAGUGGGGAAUAUUGCACAAUGGGCGCAAGCCUGAUGCAGCCAUGCCGCGUGUAUGAAGAAGGCCUUCGGGUUGUAAAGUACUUUCAGCGGGGAGGAAGGGAGUAAAGUUAAUACCUUUGCUCAUUGACGUUACCCGCAGAAGAAGCACCGGCUAACUCCGUGCCAGCAGCCGCGGUAAUACGGAGGGUGCAAGCGUUAAUCGGAAUUACUGGGCGUAAAGCGCACGCAGGCGGUUUGUUAAGUCGGAUGUGAAAUCCCCGGGCUCAACCUGGGAACUGCAUCUGAUACUGGCAAGCUUGAGUCUCGUAGAGGGGGGUAGAAUUCCAGGUGUAGCGGUGAUAUGCGUAGAGAUCUGGAGGAAUACCGGUGGCGAAGGCGGCCCCCUGGACGAAGACUGACGCUCAGGUGCGAAAGCGUGGGGAGCAAACAGGAUUAGAUACCCUCGUAGUC